CUCCUCACCUGGGAGGGGCGAUACUAGGAUCAGCGAGGUCUUUUUCCCAGGGGAGGCUCACCCAUGGUAUUCCUAGAAUGCUAACCCCUGCCAUUCCCACAAAUGCGGGAAACUUGAAUGCACAAUUUGUGGUAGUGGGAGACUGAAUUUGUGUUUCCCCUAA